GACGAACGCUGGCGGCGUGCUUAACACAUGCAAGUCGAACGGAAAGGCCCUGCUUUUGUGGGGUGCUCGAGUGGCGAACGGGUGAGUAACACGUGAGUAACCUGCCCUUGACUUUGGGAUAACUUCAGGAAACUGGGGCUAAUACCGGAUAGGAGCUCCUGCUGCAUGGUGGGGGUUGGAAAGUUUCGGCGGUUGGGGAUGGACUCGCGGCUUAUCAGCUUGUUGGUGGGGUAGUGGCUUACCAAGGCUUUGACGGGUAGCCGGCCUGAGAGGGUGACCGGCCACAUUGGGACUGGGAUACGGACCAGACUCCUACGGGGGGCAGCAGUGGGGAAUAUUGCACAAUGGGCGGAAGCCUGAUGGAGCAACGCCGCGUGCGGGAUGACGGCCUUCGGGUUGUAAACCGCUUUCGCCUGUGACGAAGCGUGAGUGACGGGAAUGGGUAAAGAAGCACCGGCUAACUACGU
rnacentral:rRNA from 1 species